CCGUGUCUGGAUGUGCAACCAUGCCAGAGAAUACAUGACCUUGGAGAGGAAAAUAAGCAGAUUGACUGAGGAUUUCUCCUGUGACAAGUGUGACAUUUCUGCCAUGCCAUUGAAUGACCUGAAGGGGGCACUGCUUUGAAAGAAAUGAGCCAUCGAUCAGCACACUGAUGGGUUCACAGGAACAGAGGUAUGCAGGAGGCCAAAAAAAAAACACAAUUUGAACCAUGUGGACCAAGCUGGAACAUCUUCAGUGGAGAAGCCCAUCCUUUGAAAUAUGCCA